AGUUCGCAAUACGCCCUCGCCGAUGAUGAAACCUAAAUACUUCAGCUGUUGGAAACAAAAUUGUGACUUUUUUAGACCGAUUAUGAGGCUAGCUUUUCUUAGACAUUCUGCAACUUCUCGUAACAAACGCAAAUGUGUCUCAAAUUCACUGGAAAUUAUCAACAGGUCGUCCAAAUACACGAAGACAUUCUCUUUAAGCCUUUGAGGAAUGACUUUAUCCAUCAGCCGGCAUAGUCUUUGUGCUGCAUUGCACAGGCCGAAUGGCAUCACGCGGAAUUGGUAUAGUGGUCGACCUGGAACGGUGAAGGCGGUGUACGGUUUGCUUUCCUCUUCCAACUCGAUCUGCCAAAAGGCAUAUUUGAGGUCCACACUGCUGAUAAAGUAGGUUUCAUCUAUUCGACUCAGAAUACCAUCAAUGUUUUGCAAGGGGUACGCAUCUUUGACCGUUAGUUUAUUUAAUUUUCUUGCGUCCAGACAAAAUCGGUUUUUGCCGGGCUUUCUGAGGACCGUUGUGCGAUUGCUCCACGGGCUCUCGCUUUCCUCGAUGACGUUCAGGGCUAGCAUGUUGUCUAUUUCGGCAUAAGUUAUGGCUUGAACAGCGGGUGACAUUGGGUAGUGGCGAUCUUUUACCGGUUCUGCCCCUUCGAUUAACUUUAUACUGUGUUUUUCUAGGGUUGUACACCCCAGACCUGUUUCUUCGAAGGUAACGAAACACUUUUUAACUUCUUCCAAUUUCUUAGACUGUUCUGAGCUGAGGCUAUGUGGAUUUAACUUGUAAUGGGACUUCUCCUCGGUCAUUUCAGAUUGUAUUUUCUCUAUAUUGAUUUCUGCUACGCCCAAAACGUCCGGUGCUAAAUCAAAAAGCCGCCAGAAAUCAAUCCCCAGAUACAAACUCUGUUCCAGAUCGGGGCAGAGGAACAGAUACAUCUCCUUUUCGGAAUCUUUAUACUUAAUCUUGACCUUAACUUUUCCUAGAACCACAUACAUACUCCCACCAGCUGUAGACACUCUACUAGUUAUAGGAAUAAUAGGAACCUCUAAGUCCUCGACCCAUCGCUGGCAAGAUUUCCCAAGCAUGCUGACCGAAGCUCCUGUGUCUAGUAAGCCCUGUACGAUUCGGCCCUCUAUACUGACUUGUGCAAAAACUCUUGGGUCGUUCCUAGAAUUUGUGACCUUCUGAAUCGAUUCUAUCAGACAUCGUUUCAUAUUACGCCAUUCAAAAGACUUAUUACGCAUCUUCUUAAUCUUCUGCGGUAGUGGUUUUGUCUCCGAAUUAAAAAUUCUUUCCUUGACCUUAUCGUAAUUUCGCUGACGAUCCUCCAGAGAUAUGUAAUGCCUUUCGUCGGCCGUAAAUUUUUCAAUAUUAACUAAAAUCUUAUCUCUAACAGUACUAUUAUUAUUUCUAUCGCUGAUUAUAAUCUUCAUGGGUUCAUUUAGUUCAUUCAUUUCUCUUGGAUGGCAGGGUUGUCCGUCGGACGUGAGCUCCCCGCAUUUUCCACGCCCGCUCUGCGGUUUCCCUGCUGGCAAUUAGAACACCUAGGUGUGACGGUAUCCGGUCUCUCACACCGGUAACAAAAUAAUUUCCUAUAUUCAGCAGGACAGUCCAUAAACACAUGCCCUGGUUCGCGGCAAUUCCAGCAUUGAAGCUGUGUUCUUUGUUGUUGCUGCAUACGCAAAGCCGAAAUGUCCUCCAUGUCUGGCUGAUUCUCUUUUGGAGCGUAUGCUCCCUCAUUAUCAACAACGAGUACCUCAUUCACUUGUCUUAUAGGCCGUGAAGGCACUGGCAUGGGUCUAGUGUCGCGACGAGGAAAAUUUCGUUCAGCCUCAAUACAUUCUAUGCGCAGUUGUUCCACUGAGGAAAUGGUCAUUUGAUAGACGUGACGUUUGAUGUCCUCUCUGAUAUUGCCCUUGAGAAUUUUGAUCAUCUCAUAUUCACAUAUUGGUUGCACUAACCUCGAACGUAGAAUACCCAUCUCAUGAAAAUAUGCAUUCACCGAUUCGUUAUGCCUUUGUUUGCGUUCUAAUAGUUCCCUUAGAAUAUCAAAUUUGGAUUGUGGGGAUUGGUAUUGACCUAUAAGAGCAUGCUUUAAACCGUCCCAAUCGAUAUCGACGUUGUUUUGCCUGUACAGCCAGUACCACUCCCGAGCCUGUCCCGUAACCAAAAAUGAAAAAUCUCUUAAAACUUCUGCCCAGGGAAUAUUAUAUUGAGCACGCAUUUGCUCCAGACGAUAAAUGAAAUCGUUAACCCGCAAAUCUCUAGGGUCUCCGCUAAAACUGAGGCCUAACUUAUCGACUCUAAUUCUUAGUAUUUCAUUCGGGACGCACAUAGCAUUCGCCGCAUAACCAUUAGUAAACUGCGUAUUCGUAGUAUUCAAUGGGGGCCUGUUCAGGUUCCUAUUGACAGUCAAACCUUUAUUCACUUGCGUGGCUUCAUUAGACACAUUAGGUCCGGCACUAUUCUGAGGUCUAUUAGCAUUAGUCCCGUCCGCAUCAACUCUCGCGACAGCCGCUAGGCCUUCUACCUUAUUAGAUAAGGAAGCUAUCAUUCUACGGACGUCAGCCAUUUCACUUUGAACCAUGCUACUGAAUUUAUCCUCCAGAUUCCUUUUAAGCGAUGCCACCGAGUCCUGAACCAAACUUUGAACGUCAGAGUCUAUCUGAUCAUUAUUUCCAGCACCCUCCUGUGGUAUUGGACCGUUAUCAUUAGCCUGACCAUUUCUCAUAAUAGACCCUGCCAAAUCAAUAAAUUGAAAGCCAUUCAUAUUAUUAUUGUUCUCUGCCAUAUUUGAAGUAAUCGCUACUUUUCUCUGCUUCCUACUCCCAGGGAAAUAUGCUGAUCUAUUUAUGUCAAACGAGUCAGUUCGCCCUCUUUUAUUAGUCUUUUUAGAGCGCGUAUUAUAGUUCAUGACCAAUUUACCCAGACGAAAACAAAAAAAAUCUGUCUUUCUUGUCUAUCUUCUAGCCAAUUUUAUUAUUUAAUGAACCCGAACAAUAAUGUAUUAUAAGUAUAAAUAUGUAUAUGUUGAAAUUAACACAAACAUAAACGUAGUGUCCAAUUAGAAGUACACAAAAUAUUAAUCUACAAACAUACAUUCACAACGAUAAAUCAAUUUAAAACUUUAAAACAUAUAUCAAUACGUGGAAGGUUAGAUUGUAUUCUCAGAAAUUCAUGUGUAAAUAAUGUGUGGUAUAAAUAUUUUAUUUUUUCUUUUUUUUCUACGAACAGAAAUUCGAAAUAACAGUGCUCUCUUUCAAGAUUUCGUCAGUGCAGAUCCAGACAAGUCUUUUACUGUUAAAAAAAAAUGUGACGCUACCACAUUAGAAAACAAUACUAAUUUCUUUUCAUUAACGUUGGCUUACUCUGGAGUUAACCAUAGAUCAAAAACUGCCCUUAGUCCUGCAAUACGAUUCGCCUCUUAGUUUGGCGCUUUUGCUAACUCAAUCUAACCUCGACUAAUGGAGCUCGAUUAGGCGGAAUAGCAACCACUUUAUUGCUACCAAAACACACAAAUAAUCACAGAUUUAUCGUAGUCAUCAAAUUAUAACAAUGGUUUUUCUACACCAGUACAUAUAGACGGACACACAGUUACGAUAGCCUGUAGCAGCGGGAGGGGAAGCGCCAGGCGAAAUCUUCUUAGAUGGAAACUUCGCAGUCGAGCUUUAAUCAUAUAUCUCCCAACGGCCAAACUUUCUCGUGGGAUACAACUCUAACGCCAGCAACACUUUUAACAUAAAUCGGAUUCACACGGCAAAAGUACUUGCAAAUCUGCUGGGCACAACACUUCAUCAAAGAGGCACUCUGCUCGUUGACCAAACCAGAAAAAAAAUGACACUGGCCUCCGUCCACUCUACAAGGAAGGCCAGUGCAGUUCCAAAUUUUGUUUAUCUAUACGAAGAAAAUAGAAACCAAACACCACGAAACAUUCACUACAUCGGUCAAACAUCCACUUUUAAUUUGGCUACUCACAUUGUAUGAUACACAAAUAAAAGUUCACACACAAAGUCUUUAA